rnacentral:lncRNA from 1 species
AUGCACACACACACACACAACACACACACACACUGCACGGACGUGCACACACACAGAUGUGAACACACACCCCCUAAUGCACAGACAUCCAGACACACACCCAAAUGCACACACGUGCACACACACACCCAAAUGCAGACAUCCAGACACACACCCAAAUGCACACACGUGCACACACACACCCAAAUGCAGACAUCCAGACACACACCCAAAUGUACACACGUGCACACACACACCCAAAUGCAGACAUCCAGACACACACCCAAAUGUACACACGUGCACACACACCCAAAUGCAGACAUCCAGACACCCAAAUGUACACACGUGCACACACACACACACACACACACACCCAAAUGCAGACAUCCAGACACACACCCAAAUGCACACAUUCACACACACACACACACCCAAAUGCACAGACAUCCAGACACACACCCAGAUGCAUACACAUUCACACACACACACACCCAAAUGCAGACAUCCAGACACACCCAAAUGCACACACAUGCACACACACACCCACAAAUGCAGACAUCCACACACCCAAAUGCACAGACACCCAGACACACACCCAAAUGCAUACAUGUGCACACACACACCCAAAUGCACACACGUGCGCAGACAUCCACACACCCAAAUGCACACACGUUUACACACACACACACACCCAAAUGCACAGACAUCCAGACACACACCCAAAUGCACACACGUGCACACACACACCACACAAAUGCACAGACAUCCAGACACACACCCAAAUGCACACACGUGCACACACACACCCAAAUGCAGAUAUCCAGACAUACACCCAAAUGCAGAUAUCCAGACACACCCAAAUGCACACACAUGCACACACACACCCACAAAUGCAGACAUCCACACACUCAAAUGCACAGACAUCCACACACCCAAAUGCAUACAUGUGCACACACACACCCAAAUGCAGACAUCCACACACCCAAAUGCACACACGUUCACACACACACACCCAAAUGCAGACAUCCAGACACACCCAAAUGCACACACGUGCACAUACACACACAUAUACACACACCCAAAUGCAUAGACAUCCAGACAUACACCCAAAUGCACACACGUGCACACACACAACCCCCCAAAUGCAGACAUCCAGACACACCCAAAUGUACACAUGUGCACACACACACACCCAAAUGCAGAAUCCAGACAUACCCAAAUGCACACACGUGCACACACACCCCCAAAUGCACAGAUAUCCAGACACACCCAAAUGCACACACGUGCACACACACACACACCCAAAUGCACAGACAUCCAGACAUACACCCAAAUGCACACACGUGCACACACACAACCCCCCAAAUGCAGACAUCCAGACACACCCAAAUGCACACACGUACACACACACACACACCCAAGUGCACAGACAUCCAGACACACACCCAAAUGCACAGGGCUGCACACACACAGACACUACUAAACGCACAGAUGCACACACAUACCGCACAUUCAGUGCACAGGCACGUGCGUGGACUCACGCACCGCAAGGACUUUCUGCCUGUGCUCCAGCGGUUCUCGGUUUUGCUUCUUAUGGGGGUCACAGGCAGCCGCUCUCACAGCCCCGGAGGGGAUUCUAACUAUGACUUCUCUAAUAGCGGCAUCUCUUAUUAA